GAGAAUGCAGGUGGAACACGCUGCACUGAAGACAGCAAGGGAUUCUUGGAGAAACUAGAAGCACGUGUUGUACAAGAAGUACUUGAGUGAAGGCAAGGACCCAAUCCCCGCAUACCCCCAAAUUACAAAGGCAGACUGGGCAGAAUUCAAAAGGGUCAGGGCAACUCCAGAUUUUGCUGCGAAGAGUUUCAAGCAAUCAAAAAUUCAGAAGAAGAACAUACACCCCCAACAUAUGGGUGUGGUAGGAUACUAUGGCAUGAAACUGAUAUGGGAACAUGAAGACAAAGAAGCAGUAGCGGCAGGUGGGAGUCCGGACUUUAGAGAAAUCAAGGGCGAACACGCCAAAGUCUACUUGCGGGCAUGUGCAAAGAGGCGUGAUGACGGAACUUAUUACUUUGAAAAUGCACGUGACGCCAAAUUGUAUGAAGUGAUGGUAGAGGCUUCCAAGAUCCCUGGAGGGUUCUACAGGAACUUAGGGCCAUGUGACAUUCUGUCCAUUGCUAUGGACACAAAAGAGCCCCCUGGCCAUGCAAGGGGUAUAGGUGUUAAUAUCCCGCACAAGUGGGCUUUCACACUCAGCAAAGAAGAGGCACUCAGCAUGAAAAAAGUGAGGAGUGAAAUGAAGCAGAAUGCAUUGUUUGAAAAGUUGAAGAAGGAGAUUUAUCCGGCUGUUCGAAAGGAUGUUGAGGAGUCAAUGAUGAUGAUGCAGAAGACUCUAACACUGACAGAUAGCCAGAAGAUGGGAGGGGAGGCGGGCAUGGAUGAUGAUGCUUAUUGUGCGACAACACUGCACAAGAGUAGCUGUGCAUCAGCUGACCCCAGCGACACUGAGACUGCAGCUGCUCGUGAUGAUGCUAUAUCUGAUCUAUCUGGAAUGAAAGAUAGAUUGAAGGGCGUGCUUACACAUUAUGAAGGUACAUUAAAAUGUGCAACAGCCUGGGUUUCCCCACCCUUCUUGGAAGAUGGCCUCUUCUUGGACAAUGUGCCAUUGAAGUCGGGUUGUGUGAAGUGCUACGUGACUGAAGUAAAGCCUGGAUACAAUGAAUUUUCCCUUAAGAAUGUCCUAGGAGACUUCGAUGAGCAAAGGACCUCGGGAGAAACACUGUUACAUCACAUCCAGUGACCACGAAAGGAAAUAGAGUUCAUCGAUGGGAUUCCUGAAGCCCCGCCAAGAGCAACCACUGUCGCCCCUCAACCGGUGACGCUCUCCUUGCCAGAGCAGCUCUCGCGGGCUAAUGCAUCAACCUGUGAUCAGCCGGACCGACUUUGUGGCGUACAGGCCAUGUCAUCCUCCACCCCAAAGCAGCCAGUGGCAAGGCCUACAACUGCUAAUGACGCACCACUGAUUCAGAUGCCGGCCACUGAAGCAGUGGGGGGAGACCCAGCUGUAGCACAUGCUCAGCAGACCAACCUGGUGGAACAGACUGCUAAGCAGUCUGAUGCUUCGGAACCGCCUGCUAAGCAAUCUGUAGGUCCAGAACCGACUACUCAUCAGUCCAUCGGUCCGCAGGCGCGUGAUCAGCAUACCAAUGCAUCAGCACUUCCUGCUCAGCAAAUCAACGCCUUGGCACGGCCUCCUCAGCACACCGACAAGCUGGCACCACCUGCGCAGAAACCUGACAUAGCUUCAACACAUGGUCAGCAGUCCGAUGCCUCUGUUCCUACAGUCCAGCAGCCCGUCACUGCAGCACCGCCAGCUCAGCAGUCCGGCAUAGAUAAAUAGUCUGCUAAGAAGUCUGACCAAGCUUCACCGUCUGUUCGGCAGUCUACCAUGCAGGCAACUAGACGUUCUGCCAGAAAUGCUUCAAUUACCAAAAAGGAAGUGGCCAAAAAGGCUACACCCACGACCAUGAGGAAGCGCAGUGGGAAAGUGAAGAGGAAAGAGAACGAUUGCCUCUUACAUAAAGCACUCAUCGCCCAGAACCAAAUUAAGAGCAGCUUGUUCGAAUCAGGGAGUAAUAUUAUUUCUGACGCCAUGGAUGAUGAAGAAGUAGAAUUGUUGCUUCCUAAAAGAAAAGCAUAUGUACUUGAAGCACGCAAUUACGUCCAUGGAGAGCCAUUUCUUGUUGGCGAAUACUUUGAUGAGUGCAGCUCCAGUUGCCGCAAGUUACAUCAAUAUUGCAUGGAUCAAAUGUCAGAAGGUUGUCACCAUUUGCUAGUCCACUACAAUAGAGAUCAUUUCCGACACGAUGUUGGUUCCAUCAUUGUGAGUUUCAAGGACUUACAUCUCUUCUUGAACUUCAACAUGCUCGAUGCCACUCUUGUUAGAUGCAUGAUUUUGUAAGUACUUAACAAACUCUGAUCAACUUCUUCAUACAAGGCUAUAAAUGAUAAACAACUAACUGCAUUUUAUUCCUCUCAGGGGAUUGAACGCGCAGAGAAGACAAAGUGAGAGUGUGUAUUUCAUAGAUCCUGCAUUAGCAAAUGGCACAGCAUUACAUGAAAAGGACCGACGGGACUGGGCCGUUAACAUGGUCGUCCGUAUCUUCGAAAACAUGUCCCAUGGAGAAUCAUUUCUCUAGCCAUAUCAUGAAGGGUAAGUCAAGUAAAUAGCCACGCAUACACUAAUUGUCUUUUAGAUUUCGACAUCAUUCGUAAGUUCAUGGCUUUCUUAAUAUGUAACAAUCACUGGAUAUUGCUAUUCAUUGUUCCAAAGAAGAACACGGAUUACUACAUCGAUUCUCUCAGAGAGUGAACAAACGCUCAGGAUCUGACGCAUCUUCAGCAAUUCUUGGAUAGGUAUCGAAUCCUAUUAUGUUGAAAUUAAUUUGCAUUCAUAUCUGGUUCAAUAAUUGAAGUUGUCAAAAUUCAUCAUCAUUUGCAGUGUGCUCGCAUUGUGGGAAACAAAAACAGGGAACUUGUUCAAGAGGAAACUACCUCUGCAGCGCGAGAACGUUUCUCCGAUAACACACCGAAAUCCAUUAUUUUUGGAAAAUUUACCAACAGUCUGCAAAUACCUUUCCUUACGCUAGUCAAAUGUUCAAGCUUCCAAAUAAACCUCUUUCUAUUUUGUCCAAAGAAAAAAUAAUACAUCUAAUACCGGUUAGGUUGUUCCUAAUAGGACAAAUACAUGACUAAUUCUGUACAAAAAAAAUUAGUGUCCUCACCAAGAAGCAGGGACAUGAACAAAUUAGUACCAGUAAGUCUAUCUUAAUUAAUAUCUACAUCUACAAAUGAUCUCCAUCUACAGACACAUGAUCUCCAGUACCAGUAAGAUGAACUUUGUGGAUACUAUGUUUGCAGACACAUGAUCUCCAUCUACAAAUAUGUUGAUAGUUGUGAUGAUCCUCACAAAUUAGUACCAGUAAGUCUAUCUUAAUUAAUAUCUUCUACUCCACUCAUAUGACACAUUCUGAUCUUAAAAAUACUGCAGCUCAUCUUAAAACCGAGGACCCCUGAACCGCUCUCGGCUGGUGAAUUGUUGAUGGUUCGGAGAUUUAUCAGCGACUUCUUCCUGGAUCACUACAUCAAUCCCACUGGUGAUAAUGAAGAUUUCAGCAUGCCUUCUCCUAAAACAUUGAGUAAGAGUUAGCCGCUAAACAUAUAACGCAUGGAUCCAUUGUUUUCCAUCUGAAGAGGUUUUCGUAUUUCGUACACUAUGAUUAAUUAUGUAAUGCAUAUAUGUGUGGACAAAUCAUUGGAAUUUAGCUACCAUAUGUUCAAUUGCAAUUGUUGCGAAAUCUAAUGAAUGUUCUUCCUAUGGACACUAUUUGUUCAAUUGAAUAUUGUGGCGAAUUUGCUUUUUGCGUGCCGAUUCAAAAUGGGAUAUUUUUGUUUUAACCUAGCAAUUGCUCCGCACACAGUUCAACUAAAUGAGUGUGUGCGAUCCACGUCGGAAAGCAUACGUCAAUCGUAUUGGAACCGUCAGUGGUACACAGCAGAUCGCAAAUGAUUCGUAGCGCUACUAUGUGUGCGUAGGUUCUCUGGAACCAUUUGUGAUAUCGCGUUAUCGCACACGCGAACUGGGAGUAAACCAUGCCCAAUGCAAAAUACAAUCCCAAUUGUAUUUUUUUCAGGAAAUGUGUGGGAUCCCAAACGAAAAGCACACGUCACACUUGCGGCAACCGUCAGUGAUACCUAACAAAUCACAAACGGUCUGCAGCACUUGUAUGUGCGCGAAGGGGCUCCAGAACCGUUUGUGAUAGAACAUUAUCGCAGACGGUAAUUGUUGGAAAACGUGUGCGAUGGAGUCUAGCAUGGCAGAUGGGUUACGCAGAAAACUCAUGUGUGAUAGGGUACAAAUCACACACAGUUCAUAUGUUGGCCCGUGUGCCUUACAUACUGUUUCCCAAAUGGUUCGUUACGACAGACCGUGUGGUUUCACAGCGUCAUUAGAAAUGCUUAAUCACCGAUACCACACGUGCGAAAGAAUUUAGUGUGUGCUGCAUCACACACGAUUACAUUUUGGAAGGCCUCUAGAUCACUAUUCCAUAUCCCCGAUGGUUUCUGGGUCGUGUGGGAAGGACCCCCUAUCGCACACACUCACUUGGCGACGGUUCCGAACGCCGUCGCGGAAAGGGGUAAAAAACUGUUUGUUUAGGACCGACGCGCACCAGUGUGUCCCAAUGCAAUAUGAGUCUAUAACCUAAUAAAUGAAGCUUUGCAUGACACUACACUUAUGUUACUACCCACUAUGAAGGUAGUUACAUAGUGUAGGGAUAUGUGUAUGUUACUCUCCAUUGUGGCUAGUCUCAUACUCCCUCCUUUCCGAUUUAGGCUAGUUGUAAUGGUAGUAUCAUAAGUGUUAUCAUGCAUGCCAACUAGACUUUCUGGAUGAUAUGGCACACAAUUAAAUGAGGAAAGAGAGGAUGUGGUGUCAUAUCAUGAUAUCAUGUCAUAUUAAAUAUUGUACUACUACUUUAUGUGAUGCAUGACAAUUAAUAAGGCAACCUAAGAUACUAACUUAUGAUACUAUGCAUUACGGAAAUAGCUAGUAUCAUACACUAUCAUAUGCAUGAUACUAGUAUAUGAUAUUCCCCAUUACAAUCAGCCUUAUAGGGCUCAAUUCAAAAAUCUCACCGACCAAGCUAGAUGGUGAGUGGUGGAAUACUUUUUAUAUUUUGCAAAAACACCCAACUAAUGCUUUUGUUUUCCUCAAAAAAUUAUGUUUUCCAAUGUAUUAAUUGCAAUACAUGCAUGCAUAAAGUACAUGCAUUGGUCAACUUCUCUUAAUACUUGCAUGCAAUGAUUUAAUGCACCUUGGAAUCUGGACAUGUGAUGGGGAACAACCAAAUUGAGCCUUAUAAAAUGGAAAAACUAAAAUUUUGAGAUAAGCAUAUAAACCGGAAAGGAGGGAGUAUAUAUGCAUGAUACUAGUAUAUGAUCGGCAAUACCUCCAUAAUGCGCGCAUGCAUAGUAUCAUAAGUUAGUAUCUUAGGUUGCCUUAUUAAUUGCAAUGCAUGACACAAAGUAGUACAACAUUUAAUAUGAUACGGUAUCAUGAUAUGAUACCACACCCUCUCUUUCCUCAUUUAAUUGUGUGCCACGUCAUCCAAAAAUUCUAGUUGGCAUGCAUCAUACCGCUUGAUACUUCCAUAUUACGACCAGCCUUAUUAGGGUGGCCAUAGUGGGGGUGUCAUUACCGGUAUCAUGCACUCGGGAAUAGAAAAUAUGAUGAUGUGGCAAAGAAGCAAUAACAUAGGUAGAUACCGUAACAUAUAUAUAUAUAUAAUAAAUGCUAUACUACUUUGUGUCAUGCAUGGCCAUAAAUACGGUCAUCUAUGAUAUAUACUACUAUAUGAUACUAUAUAUGCACUAUGAAGGUACGUACGUAGUAUCAUACACUAGUAUCAUAUGCAUGAUACUAUAUAUAUAGUAUAUGAUACUCCCCACUAUAGAAGGCUAGCCAUAAUGGUGGUAUCAUAGCCGACGAUGUCAUGCACUCGGAAAUACCAAGUAUGCUGAUGUGGCAAAGAAAUAAAUAUAUAUAAAGAGGGUUAGAGUAACAUAUAGGUAGAUACUGUAUCAUGUUAAAUGUGAUGCUAAUUUGUGUCAUGCAUGACAAUAAAUAUGAUCUAUAUAUGAUAUUACACUCUAUGUAUUAUACUAUGCGCUAUAAUUAAUUAAAGGUAGUAUCAUACACUAGUAUCAUAUAUACUGUGUAUUCAUGAUACUAGUAUAUGACACUCUCCACUAUACUCGUGAUUUCUUACCAUGGAAAACAAUUGGAGGCGAAACGAUGAACUCAUGUUUUGAUUCGAACAAAAAUAUGAUGUUAGGUAAUGUAAAUCUUUUCAAAGAGCACACGGUUCACUCACAAAAGUCGUGUGUCCACUAAACCAUGNNNNNNNNNNNNNNNNNNNNNNNNNNNNNNNNNNNNNNNNNNNNNNNNNNNNNNNNNNNNNNNNNNNNNNNNNNNNNNNNNNNNNNNNNNNNNNNNNNNNNNNNNNNNNNNNNNNNNNNNNNNNNNNNNNNNNNNNNNNNNNNNNNNNNNNNNNNNNNNNNNNNNNNNNNNNNNNNNNNNNNNNNNNNNNNNNNNNNNNNNNNNNNNNNNNNNNNNNNNNNNNNNNNNNNNNNNNNNNNNNNNNNNNNNNNNNNNNNGAUCGAACGGUGAUCCUCAUCCCUUUCGACAACACAUGUAAAUGUUUUCAAAUAACCCCUCCCAAAAAUGUUUUCAAAUAGCACACGGUUCACACAUGAAAGUCGUGUGCCUACCAAACCGUGGCUGAUGACCCCCCCCCCUUGCUGCGCGCGCGAUCUGAGUCGUCCAUUCUGAUUGGCUAGAACCCAAACCCCACGGAUCGUACGUCUGCACCGUUGGAUGCUCCCAGAUCGAACGGCAGUUCUCAUCCCUUUUGACAGGAUAUGCAGUCCGGCUAGGAAUUGAUUUAUAUGCCAACAUGCACGGUAAAUGCCAAAAAAUGUCUUACAUAUAGCACACGAGACCUGAAAUGCGCCAUCAAAUCAAACCCAUGGUAAAAUUUUGAUUGGUUUACGUGGGAACAAUUUAGAGGCGAAACGAUGAACUCACGUCUUCAUUUCAAAAUUAUUACAUCUUCAUUUCAAACGAAAUUAUUCUAUUUGUGCACACGAGCGCUUAGAGGCAACUGUUUGCAUAGGCCUUUCCGCACGCGCGGUGACUGAGGGAGUCCUGGACUAAGGGGUCCUCAGGCGUCCAACGUAUUGGACAUGGGCCAGACUGAUGGGUUGUGAAUAUAUGAAGACCGAAGACUCUACUCGUGUCCGGAUGGGACUCUCCUUAGCGUGGAAGGCAAGCUUGGUGAUCAAAUAUGAAGAUUCCUUUCUCUGUAACCAACCCUAUGUAACCCUAGAUCCCUCCGGUGUCUAUAUAAACCGGAGGACUAGGUCCGUAGACAUAUAUCCUCAUAAUCAGUCAGACAGGCUAGACUUUUAGGGUUUAGCAAUUACGAUCUCAUGGUAGAUCAACUCUUGUAAUACUCAUAUUCAUCAAGAUCAAUCAAGCAGGAAGUAGGGUAUUACCUCCAUAGAGAGGGCCCGAACCUGGCUAAACAUUGUGUCCCCUGUCUCCUGUUACCAUCGACCUUAGACGCACAGUUCGGGAUCCCCUACCCGAGAUCUGCUGGUUUUGACACCGACAUUGGUGCUUUCAUUGAGAGUUCUGCUGUGGCAUCGAAAGAUAAGAUCGAUGGCUCACCUUGUUCUCAAGGACAGCGUCACCUCCGGAGGAACACUGGCCCCAGGACAAACCCUCCGGUUGGGCGGCUUCAUCAUGACCGCCCGUUCGGCCGUUAAGCCGACGAUGACUUCUUGGGUCAUCAAAAAUCCCCUCCAUGUUGACUCCAUGUACUCCAAGCAGAUGGAUCCGGCGGAGCUCUCGUCUUUAAAUGAGCUCCUAGAUCACAUCGCCGCCCAGGGGGUCGCCACAAACUAUGAUCGGAUUGGGCUUAAACCCGACCAGAGAGAAAUUAAAACUCUGAUGAUCACCCAUCAAAUAGCAGUAGUAGAGGAGCAAGACGGCAACUCUUCCUCUAUCUUGAGGAUGAACUACAUUCGGAUCUCCAAACUUGAAGAGCCGGACACCUACCUGCAGAAAGAUAUGUCUUGUCCUCCGAACAUAGAAUCGGACGACAAGCCCAAAAAAUCAGCUGACGUCCCGGAGCCCGAACUACUAAGUCUGGAAGUUCUUCAAACUCCGGAUCCUAAAUUGGGUCAGGGUUCGUAUUUCAAACCACCCACCCACCCAGAUAUAAGCGCUCUCAUGGGCAUACGACAGUUGUAUCAGGAAACGAUCCACCACUUCUGGGCCAGAUUCCUCCUUGUCAAAGAUAAGAUUGAAGAUUGCCAUGACGAAGACGCAAUUUCAGCGUUUCGCGGCAAUUGCACAGAUGAGGGAAUCCUCAACGCCAUCAACCGUCGUCGCAUAUCAUGCUUCACAGACUUGGCAACCAUAGUAUACAAGUACUGCGCAACGGAAAGCGCCUGGAAAACUCAGGCAGCUUGCUGGGAACCGCCGGUUUCCACCCAAUCCCUCGUUCAAGUGAAAAGGACGCACCCUGGUGGCACGCCCGACCCAAUGAUAGAGAAAUAUAAGCCCAUUACGGGAUGCGGAACCGUUCUGGAGGGAUGGCUCGAUGGACCAUGCAAGUUACACACAACACCAGAUACUAUAUCAACCCACAGCCUUAGAGCAUGUUCGAUACUCCGGCGGGUGGCCAAAAGCGGCGAGGAUAUCCUCACCAAAAAUAACCCGGAGCAAUAUCCCCCAGAAGACAAUGACCUUAGAGUACUAACGGUCUUCGAGACUUUCACUUCAAACAAUAAGCGUAAAAGGGCACUCUGCAACCUUGCCGGAGUCUGCCAAAUCGCAGCAACAAACCCUUGGAACGACACGGCCAUAACUUUCAAUGUCGAUGAUGAACCAAAAUUCAGGACAAUCCGGGCACCAGCCGCCUUGGUCCUUAGUCCGAUCGUGGAUGUCUUUCGGCUCACCAAGGUUCUCAUGGACGGCGGCAGCGGACUAAACCUCAUUUACGAGGAUACACUCAGUAAAAUGGAAAUAGACAGGAGCCGCAUCAAGCAAAGUAGCAUGACCUUCCGGGGAAUUAUUCCUAGUCAGGAGGCGCGAUGCACGGGAAAAAUCACACUCGACGUGGUAUUCGGCACACCAGAGAACUAUCGGACCGAAGAACUAACCUUCCAAGUGGCCCCUUUCAACAGUGGAUAUCACGCCCUAUUGGGGCAAGAUGCAUUUACACGCUUCCAGGUUGUACCUCACUAUGGGUAUAUGAAGCUCAAGAUGCCUGGGCCCAAUGGCAUAAUCACUCUCGCUAGUGAUCCAGACAUAGCACUCCGUGCCAAAAAUAAAACCGCAUCCCUGGCCCUUGAGGUGGUUUCCCAAUAUAAGCAGUCGGCACAACUGGAUCAACAUUGUAAAUGAUAGUUUCAUCUUUAACAAUAACGGGUUCCUCAAUCUUUUCUUUAAGAGCGGGAUGAUAUUUAAACCACUUCUCCUUAGGGAGAUCAACAUGAGUAGCAAAUGAUUCACAAAAGGAGGCUACUAUCUCAGAGUCAAGUCCAUAUUUAGUGCUAAACCUAUGAAAAAUAUCGGUAUCCAUAAAAGAUUUAACACAAUCAAACUUAAGCAUUAUACCUAACUCUUUACCUUUGUCGAGUUCCCAAUCUUCAGAGUUGUGUUUAAUUCUUUCCAGAAGAUCCCACCUGAAUUCAAUAGUUUCUUCAUAAAGGAACCAAUAGAAGAAGGAUCGAGCAUGGUUCGAUCAUCAUGAAAGCCGAGCAUAAAAAUUCUGAAAGAUAAUUUCUGUUGAGAGCUCAUGAUUGGGGCAUGUGUACAUCAUGUACUUAAGCCUCCCCCAAGCUUGAGCGAUGCUCUUUCCUUCACGAGGCCAAAAAUUAUAUAUAUAUAAUUCCGAUUGUGAUGAACCAGAUGCAUAGGAUAAAACUUUUGAUGAAAUUCCAAUUUCAAUCGGUUCCAACCCUAAGUUCCAAUAUCAUCACAUAGCCUAUACCAUGUUAAUGCCUUUCCCCUGAAACAUAAAGGGAAAACCAUCUUAUUAACUUCAUCUCUGCAUAGACCUGCAAGCUUAAAUAGUCCACGAACUUCAUCCACAUAGAUUAGGUGCAUAUCAGGAUGUAGUGUUCCAUCUCCUCCGUAAGGAUUAGCUAGCAGCUUCUCUAUCAUACCCAAAGGAAUCUCAUAAUAAAUAUUUUCACUAUGUGUAGUAGGUUGAGGGGAAACUCUUUGUGCUUCCAGUCAAGGUGCAGAUACCCCGAACAAACCCCUCAAAGAUUGUUUUCCAUAGUAACAAGUGACAGUAAAUUUCAGCACAUAAUAUAAAUGUUUCAUUAACAAAUUCCACUCACCAAAGGUGCUUCACUCCCCGGCAAUGGCGCCAGAAAAGAGUCUCGGUUACCCAUGAAACGUCUCCAACGUAUCAAUAAUUUAUGAAGUAUUCAUGUUGUUAUAUUAUCAUUCUUGGAUGCUUUACAAUCAUUUUAUAGCAACUUUAUAUCAUUUUUUGGGAGUAACGUAUUGACCCAGUGCCCAGUGCUAGUUGCUGUUUUUUGCUUGUUUUUUACAUCGCAGGAAAUCAAUAUCAACCGGAGUCCAAACACCGCGAAACUUUUUGUGGGUUUUUUGUGGACUAGAAGACAUCCAAUGGGCCAGAGCAGCACCUGGGGGUGCCCCAAGGGGGGCACAACCCACUAGGGCGCGCCUGGGCCCCCAAGCGCGCCCUGGUGGGUUGUGCCCACCUCGGUGGCCUCCCGUACCCCUCUUCGCCCUAUAAAUAGUCAAAUAUUCCAAAAAGAACCGCCGCAAGCCUCUGUAGCCACCGAAAACCAAUCUAGACCCCGUUCUGGCACUCCGUCGGAGGGGGGAAUCAUCACUGGUGGCCAUCUUCAUCAUUCCGACGGCCACCACGAUGAGGAGGAAGUAGUCCAACCUCGGGGCUGAGGUUUUGUACCACUAGCUAUGUGUUUAAUCUCUCUCUCAUGUGUGUUCUUGAGAUGUCACGGUCUUGAUGUAUCGCGGGCUUUGUUAAUAUAGUCAGAUCAUAUGGUGUUUUCCCCUCUCUAUCUUGUUGUGAUGAAUUGAGUUUUCCCUUUGAGAUUUCGUUUUAUUGGAUUGAAUACUUUUAUGGAUUUGAGAGCACUUGAUAUAUGUCUUGCAUAUGAAUACCCGUGGUGACAAUGGGGUAUUAUUUUGGUUCACUUGAUAUAUUUUUUGGCACUCAACUCACGGAUUCCCAAGGUGACAUUGGGGUAAUCUACGCAUAGGGGUUGAUGCACGUUCGUGUCUUUGUUCUCUGGUAGAAAUCUUGGGGCACUCUUUGAGGUUCUUUGCGCUAGAUUGAGUAUUAUGAAUCUGAAAUUAUUUAGUGUUAUUUUAGUACAAACUCUUGGAUAGAUCGAUCGAAAAUAAUAGCUUCGAGGUGGUUUCGUACCCUCCAAACAAUUUCUUCUUAUGUUCUCCGCUAGAUAGGAACCUUGGAGUGAUUCUUCAUUGCACGUUGAAGGAUGGCUAUAUGAUCCAAUUAUAUUAGCAUUAUUGAUUGAUUGCACUAGCAAACGUACGGACCCUAGGCCUCAUUUUAAAGCAUUGCAAUACCGUUUGUGAUCCAUUUUAUCAAUUGCUACCUUGCUGUUUUUUAUUGUUCUUAUUACAAAAAUCAAUAUCUACUAUCCAUAUUACACUUGUAUCACCAUCUCUUCGCCGAACUAGUGCGCCUAUACAAAUUACCAUUGUAUUUGGUGUGUUGGGGACACAAGAGACUUUUUAUUAUUUGGUUGCAGGGUUGUUUGAGAUAGACCAUCUUGAUCCUACGCCUCCCAUAGAUUGAUCAAUCUUAGGUCAUCCACUUGAGGGAAAAUUGCUACUGUCCUACAAAACUCUGCGCUUGGAGGCCCAACACAUGUCUACAAGAAUAAACUUGUGUAGUAGACAUCAAACUCUUUCCUGGCGCUGUUGCCGGGAAGGUGAGUGCUUGAAGGUAUAUCUUUAGAUCUUGCAAUCGUAUCUUUUAGUUUCUUGUUUAUCACUGGCUUGGUUUAUAAAAGAAAACUACAAAAAAAUGGAGAUUGUGUUACCUCAAGUUGUUCUUUAUCUUUAUAAUGUUUAUCUUGAGACUAAGGAUUCCGAUAAUUGUUCUCAAUUGCUAGAAAAAGAAUUCAACAAAAUUUAUGGCAUAAAAACGUUGGAUGAUGAGCAUGAUUUCAAUGUUGUUGGUAUGAACUCUUUGAAUAUCCAUGAUGUUAGUGAUAUGCAAAGCCAUAAGCUUGGGGAUGCUAUAUUUGACGAAGAUGAUAUUUUUACUCCCCCAAGUUUCGAUGAGAAAAUUUAUUAUGAUGAUUGCAUGCCUCCUAUUUAUGAUGAUUAUAUUUAUAAAAGUGGAUUUGGAGAGGCCAUGACUUUAUUUAAUGAUGAAUCCACUAUUUUGGAAGAGGUUGCAAUUGAUUAUGACAACAAAGUUCCUAUAUAUGAUUAUUAUGGUGAUGACAUGUAUGCUCUAAAGAAUAAUGCUAACCAUGAAACUUGUCAUCAUGAUUUUAAUUUUCAAUCACAUGAUAGUUAUUUUGUUGAGUUUGCUCCCACUACUAUUGAUGAGAAUAAUUUUUCUUAUGUGGAGAGUAACAAAAUUUCUAUGCUUAUCUAUCAUGAAAAGAAUGCUUUAUGUGAUAGUUAUAUUGUUGAAUUCAUUCAUGAUUCUAAUUAAAAUUAUUAUGCGGGAGGAACAUAUGCUUUUACAUAUCACAAUAAUAUCAAUUUUCCUCUCUUUAUGUUGAAAAUCUUGAAGUUUUGCUUGUUUUGCCUUCCUAUGCUGGCUGAUUCUUGUUACCACAAGUUGUUUGCUCACAAAUCCCUAUUCAUAGGAAGUGGGUUAGGCUUAAAUGUGUUUGUCAUAUGAUUCAUGAUGCUCUUUUUCAUGUUUCAAUUCUUAUCUUUUAUGCGAGCAUCAUUGAAAUCAUCAUGCCUAGCUAAAAAGGCAUUAAAGAAAAGUGCUUGUUGGGAGACAACCCAACACUUUUACCUACUGCUUUUGUGUGUUCACAUGAUUAAGAUACUAUAUUAAUCAUGUUUUAUUGCUUUUGUUUCAAUAAAGUUCCAAGUAAGACCUUUGGGAUGGUCUAUGGAGAUAGUUGAUUUGAUCUUGCUGAAAAACAAAAAAAAUUGCGCUCAGGAAAAUAAUUAUCAUUUUUACCACAAGAGUGAUAAAAUACUGAUUAUUUUUGCAGAAGAUUAAUAGACAAAUUUACCAGGUUGUCCUAAUUAUUCAGAAUUUUUGGAGUAGCAUAAGUAUUGUUGGAGUAUAGAUUACUACAGACUAUUCUGUUUUUGACAGAUUCUGUUUUCAAUGCAUAGUUUGCUUGUUUUCUAGUUUCUAUGGCUUAUAUUGCUCAAUAUAAAUUGUGGAAAUAAUUUGCUACAGUAGGCAUUGUGUGGAAACAAUUAUUAAUCUUGUCUUUGACAGUACCAAAGUGAAAUGGUUUGCUCUUUAUCAUACUAGCCUAUCUCACGAAGUUUCGUUAAGUUUUGUGUGAUUGAAGUUUUCAAGUUUUGGGUGAGAUGUCGAUAUGAGGAGAAUAAGGAGUGACAAGACCCUAAGCUUGGGAAUUCCCAAGGCACCCAAAGUUAAUAUCCAAGGAGGAUCCAAGCAACUAGGCUUGGGGAUGCCCCGGAAAGCAUCCCCUCUUUCGUCUCCAACAUUAUCGGUAACCUCACUUGGAGCUACAUUUUUAUUCGUCACAUGCUAUGUGUUUUGCUUGGAGCAUAAUUUUAUUUUGUUAGGACUUGCUUGAUUUUAUUUAUAAUAAUGUUUUUCAUCUUUUAUUUUAAUAAAAUUGGCAAGGAUAGCCUUUGCCAUGCUUAUCUUGCAAGUAUAUGAGUUGCUGUUUCAAAACAGAAAGUUUAUCGAUGUUGAAAAAAUUCCCGAGAAAGGUCAGAAUGUGAUAAAAUGUUGAAACUUUUUGCACAAUAAUAUCUGAUAAAUUUUAUACAGCGUGGUAAAUUUUCGUAAUUUUUUGUGUUAAAUAAUUAUUGAUACUCUUGCAUUCUUUACAGACUGUACUGUUUUGGCAGAUUGUUGUUAUGUUUGCAUUGUUUGCAUAUGUUUGCUUGUUUAAUGAUUCUAUUUGAGGAUAGGAGUAUUAAAUAUGCAGAGGCAUUUAGUACGCAAUGUUGAAUAAUAAUUUUAGUGAUUUUCUACAUUAGAGAAUGAUAAGGUUUUUGCAUUGGUUUAUACUAACUUAUCUCACGAGUUCUUGUUGAGUUUUGUGUGGAUGAAGUCUUUAAGGUUUAGGGAAACCGUGAUAUAAAAGGAAUUAAGGAGACAAAAAAGCUCAAGCUUGGGGAUGCCCAAUGCACCCCAAGAUAAUAUUUCAAGGAGUCUCAAGCAUCUAAUCUUGGGGAUGCCCCAGUAGGCAUCCCACCUUUCUUCUUCAACAAUUAUCGGUUAGUAUCGGUUGAGCCUAAGUUUUUUCUUCUUCACAUGAUGUGUGAUAUUCUUGAAAUGUCAUUUUGUUUUGCUUGUUGUUUUAAUAAAAAUACUUAGAUAUGGAAGUUUUUAAAUAAGAGAGAGUCCUCAAAUAGCUACCAUUUACAUAACUACUCGCUUGAUAUUCACUUAUAUCUUUUUGGAGUAGCAUGUCAUUUACUCUUGUGCUUCACUUAUAUCCUAUGAGUAAAUUGUUGAAUGAAUUGAAUACCAUGAAGUUGAAAUUAUAUCAUCUCUAGUGAUAGCUUCACAUUGGGUUUAGAAAGUGAAAUCUUUUGAAGCUUGACAAUCACAAUAUUGGUCAUACAAGCAAUUCAUGAAUAAUUACUAUAAGGAAGAGAACUUUCACGUGCAAAUACACUAUCUUGGAAAUCUUUUGUGAUUGUGAGCCCCCAUCAAAAUAUGAUAUGCCAAAAUUGUUGACGUUGGACAUGGAAGACAACAUGAUGGUUUAUGUUUGUUCAUAUUCACAUACAAGUUAUAUUGUCAUAUAUCCUUCAACAUGUGGUGCUUGCCCCCCAUCCUUUCUAGCCAAAAAUUCCGCACCAAGUAGAGAUACUACUUGUGCAUCCAAAAACCCUUAAACCCAAAUCUUAUUUUCAACAGUCCACCAUACCUACCUAAGGAUUAAGCAAGAUCCUUCAAGUAAGUUGUCAUCGGUGCAAUAAGGCAAUAAAAAUUGCUUCUGAAAGUGUUAGAUCAUUUAGUGUAAGAUAAAAUUGAGCAUUGUACGAAAUUGUGAUGGUAAAUAAUAAAAGCAACAGACUGCAUAAUAAAGGUUGCUACCAUAAGGGGCAAUAUAACGUGACGUUCUUUUGCACUAAGGGGUUGAGCAUACAAACAAAUAAGCGCAUGGCAACCUCUGCUUCCCUCUGCGAAGGGCCUACCUUUUACUAUUAUGUAUUUACUUUCAUGCAAGAGUCAAAGUUUUUCACUCUAUUCCUUUUUAUUUUUCUCUUUUGGCAAGCAUCAUGUGGUGAGGAAAGAUCUAGGCACAUAUAUGUAGUUGGAUAUGUGUAGCAUGAGUUAUUAUUGUUGACAUCACCCUUGAGGUGAAUACAUUGGGAGGCGAAAUUAUAAGCCUCUAUCUUUCUAUAUGUCUGGUUGAAACGUUUUGAUCAUGUGUAUGCGGUGAGUGUUAGCAAUCAUAGAAGACUAUAUGAUGGUUGAGCAUGUGGAGCUCUUACUUAAACUCUGUUGAAUAAGUUGAAUUACAAUUGCUUGGUGACUGAGAACAUAGGCUGUUGAGUUUCAAGAGAAUUCGUUGUUUGAACCUUAACAUGUGAAUUGGUUGCUACUUUAACAUGAGAAGUUUUAUAAGAAAGAAUUGUUCUUAUGAUGCUAGGAAAAGUGAUUGAAAUUGUCAUUGAUCAAACUUGUGCACUUUGCUAGCAUUCACGCUUCAUAAUUAUUUCUUUUAUCAAUUACCUACUCGAGGACGAGUAGGAAUUAAGCUUGGGGAUGUUGAUACGUCUCCAACGUAUCUAUAAUUUAUGAAGUAUUCAUGCUAUUAUAUUAUCAUUCUUGGAUGUUCUGCAAUCAUUUUAUAGCAACUUUAUAUCAUUUUAUGGGACUAACCUAUUGACCCAGUGCCCAGUGCUAGUUGCUGUUUUUUGCUAGUUUUUUACAUCACAGGAAAUCAAUAUCAAACGGAGUCCAAACACCGCGAAACUUUUUGUGGAUUUUUUCUAGACCAGAAGACAUCCAAUGGGUCAAAGCAGCACCUGGGGUGCCCUAAGUGGGGCACAAUGCACCAGGGCAUGCCUGGGUUCCCAGGCACGCCCUGGUGGGUUGUGCCCACCUCGGUGGCCUCGUGUACCCCCUCUUCACCCUAUAAAUAGUCAAAUAUUCCAAAAACUCUCGGGGUAACCCUAGAUGAGAAGUUCCGUUGCCGCAAGCCUCUGUAGCCACCGAAAACCAAUCUAGACCCUGGUUCGGCACUCUGCCAGAGGGGGGAAUCAUCACCGGUGGCCAUAUUCAUCAUCCCGGCGGCCACCACGAUGAGGAGGUAGUAGUCCAACCUCGGGGCUGAGGGUUUGUACCAGUAGCUAUGUGUUUAAUCUCUCUCUCUCUCUCUCUCUCUCUCUCUCUCUCUCUCUCUCUCUCUCUCCUUCUCGUGCUCUUGAGAUGUCAUGAUCUUGAUGUAUCGCGGGCUUUGUUAAUAUAGUCGGAUCAUAUGGUGGUUUCCCCUCUCUAUCUUGUUGUGAUGAAUUGAGUUUUCCCUUUGAGAUUUUGUUUUAUCGGAUUGAAUACUUUUAUGGAUUUCAGAGCACUUGAUAUAUGUCUUGCAUAUGAAUACCCGUGGUGACAAUGGGGUAUUAUUUUGAUUCACUUGAUAUAUGUUUUGGCACUCAACUCAUGGAUUCCCGAGGUUACAUUGGGGUAAUCUACGCAUAGGGGUUGAUGCACGUUCAUGUCUUUGUUUCUCCGGUAGAAAUCUUGGGGCACUCUUUGAGGUUCUUUGCAUCGGAUUGAGUAUUAUGAAUCUGAAAUUAUUUGGUGUUAUUUCAGUACAAACUGUUGGAUAGAUUGAUCGGAAAGAAUAGCUUUGAAGUGGUUUCGUACCCUACAAACGAUUUCUUCUUAUGUUCUCCGCUAGAUAGGAACUUUGGAGUGAUUCUUUGUUGCACGUUGAAGGAUGGUUAUAUGGUCCAAUUAUAUUAGCAUUGUUGAGAGAUUGCACUAGCGAAAGUACGGACCUUAGGCCUCAUUUUAAAGCAUUCCAAUACCAUUUGUGCUCCAUUUUAUCAAUUGCUACCUUGCUGUUUUUUAUUGCUUUUAUUACAAAAAUCAAUAUCUACUAUCCAUAUUACACUUGUAUCACCAUCUCUUUGCCGAACUAGUGCACCUAUACAAAUUACCAUUGUAUUUGGUGUGUUGGGGACACAAGAGACUUUUUAUUAUUUGGUUGCAGGGUUGUUUGAAAGAGACCAUCUUCAUCAUAUGCCUCCCACGGAUUGAUAAAUCUUAGGUCAUCCACUUGAGGGAAAAUUGCUACUGGCCUACAAAACUCUGCACUUGGAGACCCAACACGUGUCUACAAGAAUAAAGUUGCAUAGUAGACAUCAACCCACAAGUAUAGGGGAUGAAUCGUAGUCCUUUCGAUAAGUAAGAGUGUCGAACCCAACGAGGAGCAGGAGGAAAAGAUAAGCGGUUUUCAACAAGGUAUUUUCUGCAAGCACUGAAAUUUUCGGUAACAGAUAGUUUGAUAGCAAGGUAAUUUGUAACGAGCAAUAAGUAGUAAUGGUAAAAAAAUGUGCAGCAAGGUAACCCAAUCCUUUUUGUAGCGAAGGACGGGCCAGAACGGUCUCUUAUAAUAAGCAAAGCGUUCCGGAGGACACACGGGAAUUUCAUCUAGUCACUUUCAUCAUAUUUGUUUGAUUCGCGUUCGUUACUUUGAUAAUUUGAUAUGUGGGUGGACUGGUUCUUGGGUGUUGUUCUUACUUGAACAAGCCUCCCACUUAUGAUUAACCCCUCUCACAAGCAUCCGCAACUACAAAAGAAGAAUUAAGAUAAAUCUAAACAUAGCAUGAAACAUAUGGAUCCAAAUCAGCCCCUUACGGAAUAGCGCAUAAACUAGGGCUUAAGCUUCUGUUACUCUGUCAACCCAUCAUCUAAUAGCUACUCCAGAAUGCCUUCCCUUAGGCCCAAAUAUGGUGAAGUGUCAUGUAGUCGACGUUCACAUAACACCACUAAGGGAAACAACAACAUACAUAUCAUCAAAAUAUCGAACGAAUACCAAACUCACAUGAUUACUUAUGACAAGACUUCUCCCAUGUUUUCAAGAACAAAAGUAACUACUCACAAAUCAUAUUCAGACUCAAGAUUAGAGGGGUGUUGAAUAGCAUCAAGGAUCCAAAAAUAUAAUCUUCCACCAAAUAAACCGACUAGCAUCAACUACAGGAUGUAAUUCACACUUCUAGCAACCCACAGGUGAAGAUGAACUAGGGUUUGAGAUGAGAUGGUGCUGGUGAAGAUGUUUGUAACGACCCUAACCUGAUAAGAUUCGAUGUCUCUGUGCUCACUGUGCUAGUCCCUGGAUCGACUCGCUAGCACACACAGUACAUAUGGAUAUCAAAUGACAAGUGCAUCAUUUACUAUAACGUAUGAUCCAAAAUUCAUAAAGUAUUACAAACUGAGUAGCACAUAGCUAACUUUAUUCAAUAAUAAUAGCGGAAAGGUAGCAUAAUAAACGAUGAGUCCAUUAAUGCCCACUGGAGAACAUGUUGAGUGAAGACUCACGACCCUAUUGUAUCUCACUGAUCACCUGAAUAUCCUGCAACAUGAUAAAUUGCAGACACAAGGGUCAAUACAUUGAAUGUAUUGGCAAAUCACACAAUAUGAUAUAGCAAACCUACAUCCACAAAGCAAUGUAUGACAAACAAAACACACAAGUUAGUUUGGAGAAGAAUGUCUUCACCUACCUCAACUAACUGAACUCAGAACCGCCUCUAAUUUAUUCGCCCAAGAUAACCCAAAAGAUUCUGUGUAAUCAUGACAAGAACUUCAGAAGUAUCUCAAUUGCGCUAUGUCAGUGGCGCAUUCUCUAGGAACAAUAGGGCGCUCUGCCAAGGACGCAUUCACCUGAUUUAUGUUUCGAAAACUAAACCUCGCCUCAAGUGCGCUCUGUCAAUGGCACAUUCUCUAGGGACAAUAGAGCGCUAUGCUAGUGACUCAUUCACCUGGUUAAUAAACCCGAGCCUACGGCUAUAAACACUCACCACUUUCAUGGAUCACUCGACACAUGCCCAUGUCUACUGUAGCAAGCCAAAUCACACCAUCACAUAAUAUAAUCAAUACCAAAACAUGACAACACGGGAUGCACAUAUCAGGCCAAACAUAUAUCAUAACAUAAAACCACACAUGCAUAUUAGAUUAUAGGAUGAGCAAAAUCAAAAGUGCAAACUUGCCUUGAACGGUGUUGAAGUACUCUAAUGCUUAAUUCUGAUUCGCUUCACACUCCGGACAAUCUAUACGAUUAACAAAGGCACCGAUAAAUAAAUCGUACUCACAUAACCCACAAUAAAGUCGACAACAAGGAAUUCAAAUAAAAACUUAAAUAACAUAACAUAUUAGUAGGCAUAUCUCAUUUACAUGCUAGUAGGAUCAAAAUGCAAAAAGAAUCAACUAAUUUGGAUCUACGAUUUAAAAGAUAUAGCCUUCGGAAGGUUGAAUUCAAAUUUGAGCAAAUUCACAUUUAAACAGUUCAAAAAUGUGAAAUUUUGGUUCUACAAUAUUAUCCUGGUCUUUAUGAGUACACAAGAAAAAGAAUAGCUGAAUUUGGAGUUACGGAUCUCAAAAUAUACCUAAAUGAGAAUUCGGUAUGGAAUCUGCAAAGAAAAUUUAUGCCAUAUAGCGUUCUGGGAAGAACUGUCGCGGCUCCUGCGACGUGGCCACAUGGCGGGCUACUAACGGCUGAGAACCAUUCGCUGCAAAGCUUAAACGACGACCGUUCGCUAUUUAAAGGAAAACAGUUUGAAUAGAAAAAAAUGACCUCUAGACGGUCCAACUUAGAUUGGACGGCAGGGAUGACUCACCAGAGGAACAAGGACAGGGCAUCGCCGGAGUUGAGGAAGAACGGCGCGGGGUGGCUCGGGUCUUGACCGUGGCGUCGCUGGGGUUAGCUCCGGGGAUCGGGGACGACGGGACAAGAUGAGGAGGUAGACGGAGAACUCCAAAACGUCCUCCAGGACGACCAGGGCUUCUGUACCGCCGGCGAGGACCGGCUGGAGCGACGAUUGAUGGCGGCAACCUUCUGUUGAGGUCGUGCACGUCUCUACACUGCUCCCCUGUGCCAAAGAUAGGGUCAUGGAGGUAGAGGGAACCGGAUAGAUGAACUAGGAGGUGCAGGAGGUGCUAGGAGCCCGCGGUGGCGAUGAACUUGACUGGCGGCGGCUCCAACAAGAUCUGAACGAGGCGAAACGGGCACGGGAGGCGGCGAUUUUGGCAAAACUCGAGCAAGGAGGAGUUGGGGCUCUUAUAUAGAUCAGAUAUCGUGGCCUACAGGUCAAGUAUCGAUCGAUUCGAUCCGGUUGCGGUUCUGUGAUCAACAGUGCUCGAGAAGUACACGGCGAUGCAGGCAAGAUGACAUGCGGGCCAGGGCAGUCAGUGGCAGAGAGGUGAAAGAGGAAAAAAACAAAAAGGUUGUGGAGUGGGUUGCGGCUGUGCGGGGAAAGAAUGGGUUGGCCUGCUGCCGCUUAGCGCGCGCGUAGGCAAGGAAAAGUUGGGCCGCAGUUGUGCUGCCCGACGGCACAGUGCACGCGGUUUAAUUUUUUUUAACUCUGCUACAAGAACUAAAAUGGUUAAAUAAAAUAAAAAAACUAAUAAAAUCAUAAAAUCACACGGUAAAAUAUUAUUACUAAUAUAUAAAACAGUGAACAGUUUUUUAAACACGAAUGCACUUUUGAAAGAAAACAACAAUUAUGCAAUACAAGCAUAUAAAGAGCAUUAUAAUGACAACUACAAAAUUAUUUUGAGUUUCAACAACUCCAAAAUACUUUCUGUAAACUCCAGAAUAUAUUCUUAGCAUUUUCCAAAUAUAAUUAAUAGGGGAGAAGUCAUAUUAUCUCCACUCCAAAUAUUUUGCCUUGAGUUGGAAAACACUUCGAAUAAACAGAAAAUUCAAUUAUGCAUAGAAAUCAUGAUGAAAAGUAAUGAUCCUAUUAACACACCAAAUCUGAAAAUUUGGGAUGUUACAAUGUUGAUGAAUAUUGGUCCUCCCACGAUGAGAGGAUCGCUGGUGAUGAUGAUGGCUUCGAUUUCCCCAUCCCAGAGGGAAGUUUCCCUGGUGGAAUCUCUCCACCGGAGACCAAAAGUGCUCCUGCCCAGGUUCCGCCUCGAGAUGGUGGCGCUUCGUCCCGAAACCGUCCUUCUAAUUUUUUAGGUCAAAUGGCACCAUAUAGGAGAAGAUGGGCCCCGGAGGCCCGCCAGGGGCGCCACAAGCUCGGGGGGCACACCCCCAGGCUUGUGGUUGCCUAGUGGGUCCCCCUCUGGUAUUUCCUUCGCCAAUAAUUUAUAUAUUCCAAAAUAAUUCUCUGUCAAUUUUCAGCUCAUUUGGAGUUGUCCAGAAAAAGUGCCUCCAAUAUAGCCCUUUCCGAUCCAGAAUUCCAGUUGUUGGCGAUCUUCCUCUUCAUGUGAAACUUGCAAAAUAAGAGAGAAAGGGCAUAAGAAUUGUAUUAUAAAGUGAAAUAACAGUCUAUAAUGCAAUAAAUAUCAACAUAAAAACAUGAUGCAAAAUGGACUUAUCAGCAACCUAAGUUGAUGUAGCUCCUCACAUUAGGAUUCAGAGUGAGAUGGCCAUUCAUAUUUUCCCAUGGUGUUUUCACUAACUUUGCAGGCUGAUACUUGUCAUAGCAUGCAUAUGGUGUCUUGCACUGCUUAGUUUAGACAUCAUAUACACAAUAUUUCUAUGUCCUCUACCUAGUAUAGAUAUCAUCUAUGUGAAUACCAUCUACUUAGUUUAGACAUCAUAUAUGUGAAUUAUGUCUUUCCAUCUGAUGACCCACAAGUAUAGGGGAUUGCGACAGUCCUCGAGGGUAGUAUUUCAUCCAAAUUUAUUGAUUCGACACAAGGAAAGCCAAAAAAUAUUUAUGAGUCUUAGCAGUUGAGUUGUCAAUUCAACCACACUUGGAAAGUUAAUUCUUUGCAGCAAAGUAUUUAGUAUAACAAUAGUAUGAUAGUUUGAUAGUAGUAGUAACAGCAACGGUAACAGUAGCAAUUUUGUAGUGAUUGUGGCAGCAACUACAACAGUAGUAACUUAGCAAAGACAAUAUGAGCAAACCAUAGGCAUUGGAUCAGUGAUGGAUAUUUGUAUGGAUGACAUUCAUCAUGUAACAGUCACAACCUAGAUACACAAUAACUACAAUUCAUCAAUUCGAUGUAAGCAUAUAUUACAUAUAUAGUCAUACGUGCUUACAAUAAGAACUUGCAUGACAUCUUUUGUCCUACCCUCCUGCUCCUGUGGCAGCGGGGUCCAUAAGGAAAUCUAAGGGAUAUUAACUCCUCCUUUUAAUAGAGAACCGGAUCAAAGCAUUAACACAUGAUGAAUACAUGAACUCUUCGAAUUAUAGUCAUCCCCAGAGAGUAUCCCAAUUAUUGUCACUUUGGGGUCUACGGAUCAAAAUAAUGGUGUAAUCUAGUGGUGUUGUGUAGUUUUCCAAAUGUACAUUAUAUCAAUGCUUGACAUCACAACAACAUGCUACGGAUGAUGAGACUCAUGUCUUUUAUGUCUUUUAAUCCAAAAACAAUUAUUCCAUUAUAGUUUAGUACACCAUAUGAAAUUAACUUGUAAGUUGUUUUUGUACCAAUUUUUCAGCCCAUUUCCCCACGUUUUCCCAAUACAUUACCACUUUUAUGACCAUUUUCUAGAUUAUCUGUAUGUUUUGUGAUAGAUAAUAUUUCAUAUAUAUGCACAGGACGUGCACAUUCUAUUAUCAAUCGUGUAGUACAUCACUGUCAUAUAUACUGCAGUUGCAAAAAAUCAUUCAGUAAUAUGACUAUGUAGUAUAGUACAUACAUUAGUAGUACGUCAUUUCAUCUAACAGAAACAGAGUCGAUAACAAAAACUACUCGUAGAAAUGGGUGGGUUUAGGCAGCGAAGCAAGCUGGUUGAUCCGGAGCGCCACCGUCGGCGACCUGAAUGCACAUCUACCAUUAGGUUAAUUUCGACGGUGCCUUAACUAGCAUUAAAGGUUUGACGGACCAAUGGCAGAGCAUUUUACGUCGUUUAUCAUUCAAAACAUGUGUCACCAUCGGCUAAAAAAAACAUGUGUCACCAUCGGCUAAAGAAAACAUGUGUCACCAUCUAUGAUCUAUGAACCACUGCUCUCUGCGUCUUCUUUCGUACAAAAAAGACGUUUUCUCAGCCCUGAGCUUGCCGCCUUCGACCUUUUUCAUAUCUUAACAAGACAACGCCACAGCACUCUCAUCUGAUUCUUCUGUGACAGAGAAACAUCAUAGCACGUCCAAAGUCCACGCCACUUCAUUUAUCUUAUGGAUCCGAGAAUAUUUACAGAACCGCAAAUGCUAUUCUGAAGAAGGUAGAACUCAAAGUUUCCAAAUGCAACUCAAUUAGAAAGAAAGAAAGAAGAACAAAAAAAUAGGCAAAAGGGUCUCCUCAACUUGGAUGUCGCACUGUAGAAGCAAGCUCUUUGACAGCACGCACGUCCAAUCUUUUUCCGUUCACUCCCCAGUUAACAAGUCAGACUGUCAUGAAUUCCCCAGCCAGCUCAACUCUGUCGAGUUCCCUUGGAUUGCGAACCCACAUUCCUCCCUUGAAAUGUCCUCACUGACACGGUCGCAAUCACAUCCACAUGCUCU
rnacentral:lncRNA from 1 species